rnacentral:miRNA from 1 species
CAGCGUAUCGCAGUUUUUCCCU